rnacentral:rRNA from 1 species
UGAGGAAUAUUGCACAAUGGAGGAAACUCUGAUGCAGCAACGCCGCGUGGAGGAUGACGCAUCUCGGUGUGUAAACUCCUUUUAUGAGUCAAGAAAAUGACGGUAGCUCAUGAAUAAGCACCGGCUAACUCCGUGCCAGCAGCCGCGGUAAUACGGGGGGUGCAAGCGUUACUCGGAAUCACUGGGCGUAAAGGACGCGUAGGCGGUCUAGCAAGUCAGGUGUGAAAGCCUAUGGCUCAACCAUAGAAUUGCACUUGAAACUGUUAGACUAGAGUAUGGGAGGGGCAGAUGGAAUUAGUGGUGUAGGGGUAAAAUCCGUAGAUAUCACUAGGAAUACCAAAAGCGAAGGCGAUCUGCUGGAACAUUACUGACGCUAAGGCGUGAAAGCGUGGGGAGCAAACAGG